UGCUUCCCAGGCCGUCGCGCUCCUGGCCGCGCACCCAGCCAGGGACCCAGAGGCCCUCAGCCCCGGGCUCUGCGCGUACACUGAGGGCGCGGCGCAGCAGGACAGCAAGAUAAGGAAGCAGAGACUGAAGGGAGGAAUCCCCGCUUUCCGGGGAUGAUGGCGUUCGAGUUGGGUCUGUGAGGGAUGAAAUAGGAGUUGGCCAGAGGGAGAGAGGGACUCUAGGCCUCGAGAAGAGCACGUGCAGAGGUUCCGUGACACGAAAACGCCAGAACUGGCGGACUCUUGGGUGCUUGGAGACACUAUAUAAAUAAGGAACUCUGGCUGUGUGCAUGGGAGAGUAUAUUAACAGGGCUUGGCCUGGCUGUGAGGUGCAGAGAUGCCGUUUCUCUCAGGCUGGGAACUUCAGGAAAGCCAGGACCAAGUCAAUCUUGAUCUAGGCUCUGUCUUCAGCAUCUAGAACCAGGCUUGGCACCAACUGAGUAGGACAAUUUGGCCAUCUACACACUGAUAUAUAUGCACAUCCUUGGACCCAGCAGUUGCACUCCAGUGUGCAACAGGAUGAAUGGUUACAGAUAUCAUGGUACAUUCAUAAGACAGAAUCCAAUGCAAUUCAAAGAAGGAGCUGGAUCUAUGUGUCCUGACAUUGCCCAGGCUCAGAACACUUGGCUCCAUUGCUUCACUGUUUCCCUGCUAGCACGAACCCCCCAAACUCCAUCUCCCAACAUGCCGCGGGCCCCCUUUCUGUCAGCCUGACUCUUGAGCUCCUGAGAAAUGUAGUUUUUCCAGCGGCCCAGCCCCAGAAAGGUCCUAGCCAAGAACUACAGUUCCCAUGUGGCAAUGCGCGCGCCAUUCCGGUGGAAUUCACCGCGGUCUCCAGUUUGCCAUGAUGGAUGCCAGAACCUGCACGUGGGGCUUGGUGACGCGAUGACUGAGAUGCUGGAGUCCCCGGUCAGAAGGACGAUGCCGAGCGCGCCGUAUUUUCUCCUGCCUCUCCUCAGAUCGCCGCCGUUGUUGGGCUGUGGAGACGUCUCAACCAAAGUGGAGCCGACAGAGGCCCCGGGAGCCGUGGUGACAGAGCGGCCACAACCACUAGGGGGCGGGAGGCAGAGCGGCCCCUAGUCCGCCCCUAGUCCGGGACCUCUGGGCGGUCCCGGGCGGGAAGCGCACGCGCAAACGCGGGGCUUCGCGGCCGCUGUAAACACCAAAGAGCGCCUGCGCAAGCCGAGAGUCUCGGGAUCGACACGUGGGGGCGCCUGAGCGAAGAUAACCGUAAUAAAUAGUAACCUAACGGUCCAGUCA
ensembl:lncRNA Novel transcript